AGUUUGAUCUUGGCUCAGGAUGAACGCUGGCGGCGUGCCUAAUACAUGCAAGUCGAACGAACUUCCGUUAAUUGAUUAUGACGUACUUGUACUGAUUGAGAUUUUAACACGAAGUGAGUGGCGAACGGGUGAGUAACACGUGGGUAACCUGCCCAGAAGUAGGGGAUAACACCUGGAAACAGAUGCUAAUACCGUAUAACAGAGAAAACCGCAUGGUUUUCUUUUAAAAGAUGGCUCUGCUAUCACUUCUGGAUGGACCCGCGGCGUAUUAGCUAGUUGGUGAGGUAAAGGCUCACCAAGGCAGUGAUACGUAGCCGACCUGAGAGGGUAAUCGGCCACAUUGGGACUGAGACACGGCCCAGACUCCUACGGGAGGCAGCAGUAGGGAAUCUUCCACAAUGGACGCAAGUCUGAUGGAGCAACGCCGCGUGAGUGAAGAAGGGUUUCGGCUCGUAAAGCUCUGUUGUUAAAGAAGAACGUGGGUAAGAGUAACUGUUUACCCAGUGACGGUAUUUAACCAGAA
rnacentral:rRNA from 1 species